rnacentral:rRNA from 1 species
UACAGAGGUCUCAAGCGUUGUUCGGAUUCAUUGGGCGUAAAGGGCGCGUAGGCUGCGGGGCAAGUCGGGUGUGAAAUCUCAGAGCUCAACUCUGAAACUGCACUCGAUACUGCUUUGCUCGAGGACUGGAGAGGAGAUUGGAAAUUCACGGUGUAGCAGUGAAAUGCGUAGAUAUCGUGAGGAAGACCAGUGGCGAAGGCGGAUCUCUGGACAGUUCCUGACGCUGAGGCACGAAGGCCAGGGGAGCAAAACGGG